rnacentral:lncRNA from 1 species
CCUGGCCGCGCUCCGCCUGCCCAGUUUUCAUAAUCCUCUCAGGCUCCAGCGAGAGAGGCACCGCCCACCGCAGGGCCUGGUCACGUGAGGGAAACACUGCGGGCCCCAGGCUGCGGACGGAGCCUGGAGAGCCCUGUCCUGUUUCCCUCCGCGCUGAAGUCAGGCUGUCAGGAAACCUGGCCCGUCUCCCGCUAAGCGACCUAGACCUCCACCCUCGCAUCACUACAUGCGAAUUAUACCUCUGUUGGAAGACGAGGAGGUGCUGUCAUCGUUCAUUACAUCAGCAAGCGCUCGUGGAGAACCUGCCACACCAACAGACCAGACUGGAUGCUUUGGAUCCAGUCUCUGGCUCAGCUGUCCUGUGAGGGAGCAGCCACAGGGAGACAAACGGCACUUCCUGUGCACUUCGAGCAGCUGGCUAUUUACAAGAGCCCCUGGUCACACAGGAAUCUGGCCAGGCAUGGUAACACACCCCUGUAAAUCCAGGACUAAGGAGAAGAGACAGGAGAAUUAUUGUAAGCCUGGGCUACAUAGUGAGUUCAAAGCCAGCCUGAACUACAUAGUGAGACCUUGUCUCAAAAAACCAAAAGAAAAAAAAAAAAAGGAAGGUGGGGAGGAAGAAUUGAGAUAUGUAUCAGAUCCCCACAAGGAAUGUAAUAAUUACGUACUGCAAACAUGUAUUAAUAAAAAUAAAAAAUUAAAAGAAUCCAAGAGAGUCUUUCCAUAAAGCAGUUUAAGUUUGGCACCAGGCUG